AUUGAACGCUGGCGGCAGGCCUAACACAUGCAAGUCGAGCGGAUGAAGGGUGCUUGCUCCUGGAUUCAGCGGCGGACGGGUGAGUAAUUCCUAGGAAUCUCCCUGGUUGUUGUUUUAACGUCCGUAAACGGGCGCUAAUACCGCAUACGUCCUGUGGGAGCAAGUGGUGGAUCUUCGGACCUUUCGCUCUUAGCUGAGCUUAGUUCGCAUUAGCUAGUUGGUGGGGUAAAGGCCUACCAAGGCGACGAUCCGUAACUGGUCUGAGAGGAUGAUCAGUCACACUGGAACUGAGACACGGUCCAGACUCCUACGGGAGGCAGCAGUGGGGAAUAUUGGACAAUGGGAGAAAGCCUGAUCCAGCCAUGCCGCGUGGGUGAAGAAGGUCUUCGGAUUGUAAAGCACUUUAGGUGGGGAGGAAAGGCAGUAAGUUAAUACCUUGCUGUUUUGACGGUACCAAAAGAAUAAGCACCGGCUAACUUCGUG
rnacentral:rRNA from 1 species